rnacentral:rRNA from 1 species
AACGAACGCUGGCGGCGUGCCUAACACAUGCAAGUCGAGCGAGAAAGGGGAGCAAUCCCUGAGUAAAGCGGCAGACGGGUGAGUAACACGUGGGUAAUCUGCCCUCGAGCGUGGAAUAACAUCUCGAAAGAGGUGCUAAUACCGCAUGACAUCCAGGAUCCCUCGGGCAUCCGGAUCAAAGGUGGGGAUCUUCGGACCUGCCACUUGAGGAGGAGCCCGCGCCUGAUUAGCUAGUUGGUGGGGUAAUGGCCUACCAAGGCGACGAUAAGUAGCCGGACUGAGAGGGUGAACGGCCACACUGGAACUGAGACACGGUCCAGCCUCCUACGGGAGGCAGCAGUGAGGAAUUUUGCGCAAUGGUCGAAAGCCUGACGCAGCAACGCCGCGUGGACGAUGAAGGUCUUCGGAUCGUAAAGUCCUGUCUAGUGGGAAGAAAAAUGUGGGGGUUAACACCUCCCGCAUUAGACUGUACCACCAGAGGAAGCCCCGGCUAACUCCGUGCCAGCCGCCGCGGUAACAC